GUCAUUGGUUCGAGUAGCAUUUGGGACGAGACCAUAUAACAUGUUCUGGUCUCGGGUCUAAAGGGAUGUAUGGAUUUUGAUCCACAACUUUUUUGAUUAUUUUUUUUUAAAAUAUUAAUGUAGCAUUUUUGUUAGUUUUUUAAGUUGUUUGUUUAAGAUUUGUAUUUUCUGUGUAAUCGGAGUUUGGAUUUGAAUAAUUUUAGAGGUUACAGAAAA
rnacentral:lncRNA from 1 species